AUACGUAGGUGGCAAGCGUUGUCCGGAUUUACUGGGCGUAAAGGGAGCGUAGGCGGAUCUUUAAGUGAGAUGUGAAAUACCCGAGCUCAACUUGGGUGCUGCAUUUUCAAACUGGAGGGUCUAGAGUGUCGGAGAGGUAAGUGGAAUUCCUAGUGUAGCGGUGAAAUGCGUAGAGAUUAGGAAGAACCCCGGUGGCGAAGGCGACUUACUGGACGAUAACUGACGCUGAGGCUCGAAAGCGUGGGGAGC
rnacentral:rRNA from 1 species